UUGAAUCUCCUGUUGAAUUGAACAUGCAGGAAUCUUGAAACCUAGAUGUAUGCGUUUAAGUUCAGGAUAUUGGUAAACUUAUCCACGAAUCGUUUUCUAGCGAAGCGGCACAGUUGGGCACUCUUAUAGGUACAGUGAAACGGUGGAAUGCAUUUGCUUUUAUAGAACAACGAAAAGUGCAUUACUUUUCCAAGGCCGGGAAACUCCAAUGCUCUACCAAUCCAGAACAUAUGGUAGCUCAUAUAUGGGACUAAUACGUCUGCUCAUCCUGCUGGGUCUUAUUGGAGUCAGUGUUAUCACAAAAGAAGGUCCAAGGUUUAAACCAUUUUUGGCUGAUCAAGUAUCUCUGUUCCUCGAUAGCAACCUACGCGACUUCAAUGUACUUAUUGAUAUGCCAAGUCUAGAACCGUUUGCAUCAGUCGAUUAUAUCCUCGUAUAUUGCGAAGAAAAAACCAACCCCAUUUUCACCGGACCACGGUUUUGUGUAUCUGAGAUCCUGACCAGAAAAGAACCGCAUCAGUACAUCAAGCUGAACCCGUCAGAGAUUAUAUACAACAUUGCUUUGUUUGCCCGAUACCGAGUAGGUGACAAGGCAGUCACGACGAAACCAAUUAAUACUGGUAGCGUCAACCUUACUCCAUGCGACGACAGUUGUUGGGAUCUCGAUUACGACUUGGAGUUCACGCGGUCAAUACAGCAAGCAAGCUGGGAACAGAAGUUUAAUGAAAUUAUGUUCCUGUUCUUCUUACCUGAUAUACGUGACUUCUGCCCUCACUUCCCCUUGGACCCUUACGCUUUAGACUUAAACUAUAUAGAUACAGGUACUUACAGGAACUACAUCACAUUUCGGGGCUUACGAACACAGUAUUUUGAACUAGUGACCAACGACCGCGUAGAGAGCAAGAUUUUCGGAAGUAUAAGAUGCAGCGCACAGACAGAGGAAUACAAAUACUAUGCUGUUCCAAACGUUUCGUUGGGAUCGGAUCAAAAACUGGCGACGCUGGAAAUGAUUGAUCGUCCUUGGAAUUAUCCAGUUGUUCGCCUCGGUUCGAUUCGAUAGUGAAUUAAUUAAUAGGAAUUCGUCCCUUCUGAUAGAUGCUCAUUAUCAGUUUGUAUUGAAUGUGUUGUAUUGUAUGUGUUUAAAUGUUUGUGCGUCUAUUUUGGGCCUUCCGUUUACGUGCUGUAGCUAUAAGACCCAAACUACUUUCUUCGUGCAAUAGUUAAUUGCCCUUGUUCCAAACACAAAGCAACCUAAGGACCAAAUCGAAUGCAGUCGUUUUGCGUAAAUAGGAUGUCCUAAUAAAUUUGGCUUAAAUUUGAACCAUCUGCGGCUCCGUAAGUAACGAAACCUUUGAAGAGCCUUGAAUCGAUUUAUUGCCGCGACCUAAGAAUACGCUCACGUUUCCACCGCUUCUGGAAAACCCUGUGCUAAUGUAGUUGUGACUUACGCACAAGUAUCUCACUGUGAAGACACUUCCUUCCUCUAAGAAGGACAUUUGCGCAUAUGGCUGGACUCGUUCAGACUAUUUAUGCAAAACCGGCUCGUGAUACUACACCUCUUAACUCUGCUGUUACCCAGACAUAGCCUGGGGAACAAGAGCAUUCCCGGUGAUGACUUAUAUUGCAUUUGUACGUGCCCUUUCUGAUAACGAGUAUCCAUAUGCCCACUAACCGUUACCAUUAUCGAGGGAGGUCAAAGGAUCUUGCAACGCACGCAUAGGAUGUCUUCUUUGAUGCAGCAAUAUAAAGGCAUAGGCCACUACUGAAGAACUGAAAAUAGUCGCUGAUCAAAUCGAUCGAUAACAAUAUUAAACGUCCUAUAUAUUUCGAUUCCUAUAUAUUGUAAGCCGUUGGGAUUUUAGAAAAAAAUUUUUUCCACAUUAGUUAUUCAUUUGCGAUAUGUACAUAUACCUUAAACGGUUCUAAGAAAAAGAGUUGAAGGCCACUGUGGAAACAUUUCUUACCGUAUCAUGUCACCAUAAACAGGCAAAGAUGGUUCAAUGUUCACCAGGCAGCGAACAAUUCAGCUAUUGUAUCUCGACUGUUUAACGUACAAAACUCAUUAUUAAGGGCAACAGCUCAAACGGUCUGUUUGUUACAUCAGCAAGUUCGAGGCCGCCGAAUACGACAGUCUCAUACCUGCUUGGCAAAUAGCAGACUUACAGACCCAUAUUCCAUAACGACUGCCUAUCGUCAAGCGUACCCUUACAUGGUUUGAAACGGCGUGACAAUGCCUCCGACUCUAUCGCAUGAUAUUCUUGUCUUACACACUGUCGGACAUACGUUAUAUAUAUAAACACAAGCGGCAUGGGCACUACGCGCAGCUCGGCCGGCGCCUGUACAAUGGCAGGAAAUUUUGUAGCUUCAAUGAUUUCUACGAACCAGCUCGAUCGCGUCGACGUGAACAUUACGAAGAUGAAGCUGCACGGACGGCGCAACUGCUACCUUCUAACAUCAGCGAAAAUAUGGGAGUUACUGUGAAAGAGCUGUGGCCCUCGGGUGACGGACCCAGAGUGGUGAAACCAGGCCGUUUUGGUCACUGGCCUUGACCUGCAGGACUCUGUCAAUCGCUGAAAGUUGUCGGCGUGUUCGGUAGAUUCGCUCGGUCCAGCAGCACUGUCUAGUUUGGACACGGAACUUACUGGUAAUGGCCAUACUGGUCUCGUGCAACCCAAGCGUUUUCUGUCUAAUCCAGUAUAUUUAGAGAAUAUACAAUCAUUGGAACAAUUACGCAGCCUGUGAAUAAGGUUUAGCAAAGAUACAGCUUUGGGCAGCGUGAAUAAAUUAACGCAUAUAUCCUUCUUCAGUGUGUCAAUACAGGUCCAUGAACAAUCAUAUUUGAU